rnacentral:sRNA from 1 species
AAAUAAAAGCGAAUGACUGUGGACACAGUGGAGCGCAAAAGCGAAGGCUGUGCGGCGUUGCCAGAUCGCUGGAGUGAGCGGGACCGUUAAACAGUAGUCAUUGGAACAUGUGGAGCACAACAAAGCGCAAAUGAGAGUUUAUCUCACUCUCUCAGCUUUUUUGAGAGAGGGAAUCACAAAGGAACAUAAACUAUCAUUACUAUCUAAGCCAAACCAAUGCAUUUUGUUCAGUGUACACAAGAGAGAGCGUUGUCACGGAAAGAGGAGAGCAAAACAAAGACGGAGAGGCAAACGGCGAUGAAGUAACAAAAUGAGAACGGCAAUAACAACAUCGAAAGCGGGCUAAAAAUAAAAUGCAAACACAAAUUCCAGUACAAAAGAAGUAAAAAGCAAAAGGAGGUGGGGUUUUGCUCUUGUUAGCACCAGCACGCAAUUGAUAAAA